CCUGCCAAUGCCCAUGCCCCUGCCUGGGACAUAAGAGCUGCCCUUGCCCUUGCCCCUGCCCGGGUCAUAAGAGCUGCCCUUGCACUUGCAGCUCUUGGCUGCUGCUGGCUUGCAGCUCUUGGCUGCAGCUGGCUUGCAGCUCUUGGCUGUUGCUGGGUUGUUGCUCAUUGCUGCUUGCUUGCAGCUCUUGGCUGCUGCUGGCUUGCUGCUCUUGGCUGCUGCUUCCUUGCAGCUUAUGGCUGCUGCUUGCUUGCAGCUCUUGGCUGGGGCUGGCUUGUAGCUCUCGGAUGGUGCUGGCUUACGUGAGUGCUCUGGUGCUGGCUUGGAGCUCUUGGGUGCUGCUGGCUUGCAUCUCGAGGCUGCGGCUGGCUGGCAUCUCUUGGCUGGUGCUGGCUGGCAGCUCUUGGCUGCUGCUGGCUGGCAUCUCUUGGCUGCUGCUGGCUGGCAGCUCUUGGCUGCUGCUGACUUGCAGAUCUUGGCUGCUGCUGGCUUGCAGCUCUUGGCUGUUUAAGUUUUCCAGCACUUGGCUGCUGCUGGCUUGCAGCUCUUGGCUGAUGCAGGCUUGCAGCUCUUGGCUGCUGCUGGCUGGCAGCUCUUGGCUGAUGCUGGCUUGUAGCUCAUGGCUGGUGCUGGCUUGCAUCUCGUGGCUGGUGCUGGCUUGCAUCUCGUGGCUAGUUCUGGGGGGCAGCUCGUGUAUACUGCUGACUUGCAGCUCUUGGCUGCUGCUGGCUUGCAGCUCUUGGCUGCUGCUGGCAUGUAGCUCUUGGCUGGUGAAGUUUUCCAGCACUUGGCUGGGGCUGUCUUGCAGCUCUUGGCUGCUGCUGGCUGGCUGCUAUUGGCUUCUGCCGGCGUGCAGCUCUUGGCUGCUGCUGGCUUGCAGCUCUUGCCUGCUGCUGGCUUGCAGCUCUUUUCUACUUCUGGCUUGGAGCUCGUGGCUGAUGCUCACUUGUAUCUAGUGGCUGGUGCUGGCUGUCAGCUCUUGGCUGCUGCUGGCUUGCAGCUCUUGGCUGUUGAAGUUUUCCAGCUCUUGGCUGGGUCUGGCUUGCAGUUCUUGGAUGGUGCUGUCUUACGUGAGUGCACAGGUUGUAGCACUUGGCUGCUUCUGGAUUACAGCUCUUGGCUGGUGCUGCCUUGCAUCUCGUGGCUGGAGCUGGUUCGCAUUUCGUGGCUGGUGCUGGCUGGCAGUACUUGGCUGCUUCUGGCUUGCAGCUCUUGGCUGCUGAAGUUUUCCAGCACCUGGCUGGGGCUGGCUUGCAGCUCUUGGCU
ensembl:lncRNA